AGGCCUUCGGGUCGUAAAGCUCUGUUGUUAGGGAAGAACUAGUACCGGAGUAACUGCCGGUACCUUGACGGUACCUAACCAGAAAGCCACGGCUAACUACGUGCCAGCAGCCGCGGUAAUACGUAGGUGGCAAGCGUUGUCCGGAAUUAUUGGGCGUAAAGCGCGCGCAGGCGGUUCCUUAAGUCUGAUGUGAAAGCCCCCGGCUCAACCGGGGAGGGUCAUUGGAAACUGGGGNACUUGAGUGCAGAAGAGAAGAGCGGAAUUCCACGUGUAGCGGUGAAAUGCGUAGAGAUGUGGAGGAACACCAGUGGCGAAGGCGGCUCUUUGGUCUGUAACUGACGCUGAGGCGCGAAAGCGUGGGGAGCGAACAGGAUUAGAUACCCUGGUAGUCCACGCCGUAAACGAUGAGUGCUAAGUGUUAGAGGGUUUCCGCCCUUUAGUGCUGCAGCAAACGCAUUAAGCACUCCGCCUGGGGAGUACGGCCGCAAGGCUGA
rnacentral:rRNA from 1 species